UACGUAGGUGGCGAGCGUUGUCCGGAUUUACUGGGCGUAAAGAGCGCGCAGGCGGUCGUACAAGUCGCGUGUGAAAGCCCCCGGCUUAACUGGGGAGGGUCACGCGAUACUGUUCGACUCGAAGGCAGGAGAGGGAAGCGGAAUUCCCGGUGUAGUGGUGAAAUGCGUAGAUAUCAGGAGGAACACCUGCGGUGUAGACGGCUUACUGGACCAUAACUGACGCUGAGGCACGAAAGCGUGGGUAGCAAACAGG
rnacentral:rRNA from 1 species